UCAGAGUGAGAUUAAGCCAUGCGAGUUAACGUAGCAAUACGUGGCGCACGGCUCAGUAACACGUAGUCAACAUGCCCAGAGGACGUGGAUAACCUCGGGAAACUGAGUCUAAACCGCGAUAAGUSAGGAUUUCUGGAAUGGUUCCUGACUAAAAUCUAUAUGGCCUCUGGAUUGGACUGCGGCCGAUCAGGCUGUUGGUGAGGUAAUGGCCCACCAAACCUGUAACCGGUACGGGCUCUGAGAGGAGGAGCCCGGAGAUGGGCACUGAGACAAGGGCCCAGGCCCUAUGGGGCGCAGCAGGCGCGAAACC
rnacentral:rRNA from 1 species